UACGUAGGUGGCGAGCGUUGUCCGGAAUAACCGGGCGUAAAGGGAGCGUAGGUGGUGAAUUAAGUUAGGUGUGAAAGCCCAAGGCUCAACUUUGGAAUUGCACUUAAAACUGGUUUACUAGAGUACAGGAGGGGUAAACGGAAUUUCUAGUGUAGCGGUGAAAUGCGUAGAUAUUAGGAAGAACACCUGGGGCGAAGGCGGUUUACUGGACUGCAACUGACACUGAGGCUCGAAAGCGUGGGGAGCAAACAGG
rnacentral:rRNA from 1 species